ACAUUUCUAUAUUUGUCCCAAUGAAAACGAUUAACAAUACAAACUGGUGGUGGCCUCAAAACUUUCAAAGUCUUGAGCACUGUUCUUUUGUGUAAAUAUAUCCCAACAAAAAAAUAAGAAGACUUUG
rfam:Flavobacteriaceae bacterium JJC contig01, whole genome shotgun sequence.